rnacentral:rRNA from 1 species
UGGGGAAUCUUGCACAAUGGGCGCAAGCCUGAUGCAGCAACGCCGCGUGCGGGGAAGACGGCCCUAGGGUUGUAAACCGCUUUCAGGGAGGGAAGAAAAUGACGGUACCUCCAGAAGAAGGUGCGGCCAACUACGUGCCAGCAGCCGCGUGACACGUAGGGUCACCAAGCGUUAUCCGGAUUUAUUGGGCGUAAAGAGCUCGUAGGCGGUCCGUUGCGUCUGCCGUGAAAACCCGGAGCUCAACUCCGGGCCUGCGGUGGAUACGGGCGGACUAGAGUCCGGUAGGGGAGACUGGAAUUCCUGGUGUAGCGGUGGAAUGCGCAGAUAUCAGGAGGAACACCGGUGGCGAAGGCGGGUCUCUGGGCCGGAACUGACGCUGAGGAGCGAAAGCGUGGGGAGCGAACAGGAUUAGAUACCCUGGUAGUCCACGCCGUAAACGGUGGGCGCUAGGUGUGGGGAUCGUUUCCACGAUCUCCGUGCCGUAGCUAACGCAUUAAGCGCCCCGCCUGGGGAGUACGGCCGCAAGGCUAAAACUC